UACGUAGGUCCCGAGCGUUGUCCGGAUUUAUUGGGCGUAAAGCGAGCGCAGGUGGUUUAUUAAGUCUGGUGUAAAAGGCAGUGGCUCAACCAUUGUAUGCAUUGGAAACUGGUAGACUUGAGUGCAGGAGAGGAGAGUGGAAUUUCAUGUGUAGCGGUGAAAUGCGUAGAUAUAUGGAGGAACACCGGUGGCGAAAGCGGCUCUCUGGCCUGUAACUGACACUGAGGCGCGAAAGCGUGGGGAGCAAACAGG
rnacentral:rRNA from 1 species